AGUGUGUUUUUACUCCAGCAGACACAUGCAGGUAUAUUAAUGGUUCAGAGAGUGUGUUUUUACUCCAUCAGGCACAUGCAAUAACUAGGUAUAUUAAUGUUUCAGAGAGUGUGUUUUUACUCCAGCAGACACAUGCAGGUAUAUUAAUGGUUCAGAGAGUGUGUUUUUACUCCAGCAGACACAUGCAGGUAUAUUAAUGGUUCAGAGAGUGUGUUUUUACUCCAGCAGACACAUGCAGGUAUAUUAAUGGUUCAGAGAGUGUGUUUUUACUCCAGCAGACACAUGCAGGUAUAUUAAUGGUUCAGAGAGUGUGUUUUUACUCCAGCAGACACAUGCAGGUAUAUUAAUGGUUCAGAGAGUGUGUUUUUACUCCAGCAGACACAUGCAGGUAUAUUAAUGGUUCAGAGAGUGUGUUUUUACUCCAUCAGGCACAUGCAACAACUAGGUAUAUUAAUGUUUCAGAGAGUGUGUUUUUACUCCAGCAGACACAUGCAGGUAUAUUAAUGGUUCAGAGAGUGUGUUUUUACUCCAGCAGACACAUGCAACAACUAGGUAUAUUAAUGUUUCAGAGAGUGUGUUUUUACUCCAUCAGGCACAUGCAACAACUAGGUAUAUUAAUGU